UCCGUCGGUGGUCUAGUGGCUAGAUACCUGCCUUCCACGCAGGAGGCCCGGGUUCGAUUCCCGGCGUCGGAA